rnacentral:hammerhead_ribozyme from 1 species
AUCUAGCUGAGGAAUCUCAAAUAGGGUGAAACGAGAGUCUUAGAU